GAUGAAGAACGUAGCAAAAUGCGAUAAGUAGUGUGAAUUGCAGAAUUCAGUGAAUCAUCGAAUCUUUGAACGCACAUUGCGCCCCCUGGUAUUCCGGGGGGCACGCCUGUUCGAGCGUCAUUUCAACCCUCAAGCCCCCGGCUUGACGUUGGGCGCGGCCCCUCCCUCGGGGGGGGCCCGCCUGAAACCCCUCGGCGUCGCCGUCCGUCCCAGAGCGCAGCGAGUUUUCUGCCCGCGCUACUGGACCGGGCCGCUGGCCGCCGGUGAAUCCAUUUUCUCAAGGUUGACCUCGGAUCAGGUGGGGAUACCCGCUGAACUUAAGCAUAUCAAUAAGCGGAGGA
rnacentral:misc_RNA from 1 species